ACGUAGGGUGCGAGCGUUAAUCGGAAUCACUGGGCGUAAAGGGCGCGUAGGCGGGGAGGCAAGUCGGGUGUGAAAUCCCUCGGCCCAACCGAGGGACUGCGCCCGAAACUGCCUCUCUUGAGUCCCGGAGAGGAAGGUGGAAUUCCCGGUGUAGCGGUGAAAUGUGUAGAGAUCGGGAGGAACACCGGUGGCGAAGGCGGCCUUCUGGACGGUGACUGACG
rnacentral:rRNA from 1 species